ensembl:lncRNA MIR9-2HG MIR9-2 host gene
GGACAGAGCACCCGGACCCGCGGCGGCAGCGGCAGCGACGCUACCCACCCUCUUCCCCAACACCCACCUAGCCAGCGAGUCACCGAGCCACCGGCCCUCGGGGAAAUUGCUUUGGAGAUGAGGAAACAAACUCUUAUGGAGACCUAAGAGACUGAAGACAUCUGGCGUGGACUACUCUGAUGGUAAAAUUGAAAGUACACCUAAAUUUGCUUUGUUACAGGAUUCUCUUCAGAGGACAAGAGAAGAUGUUACAUUCUCUGCAUGAGGACAAUUCUGCAGCAUCAAAAUCGAAUAAUAUUUGUUUUCUGGCAGCAGAAUUUUGUAUCAUAUUUCUAAAGACAGUAAGCACUUGGGUGGACGUCAAUGAAUACUAAACACUAAUUGAUCUGAUACAGCCGUAUGCACAUACACAGAUAUACAUGGUGGCUUGUAAUGGUUGAAAAAUUACGGUUUGGUUUUAUUAAAAGAUCUGUCACUUUUAGGUCAGAGUGGGAUUUUGGAGGGAUAGUCUCCCACAAUAGAAAACUACCCUGACAACAGUGGUGUUUUGAGGUUGUUUGUUGUUUGGCUUCUUGAUGAUGCUUAGCUAAGGAGACACUUCCUUUCAGAUUCUGUCUUCCAAACCCCAGGGCUCUGUUCUGGGCAGUUCAGCCUAAUGGAAUUAAGCCUGACAUGUUUCAACUCUAUUUCUUGAUAAAAUAAACAUAAAACAAUGGUUUAGAUUUCGAAUAAAA